rnacentral:rRNA from 1 species
CCUACGGGAGGCAGCAGUGAGGAAUAUUGGUCAAUGGGCUUACGCCUGAACCAGCCAAGUCGCGUGAGGGAAGACUGCCCUAUGGGUUGUAAACCUCUUUUGUCAUGGAGCAACGCCGGCUACGUGUAGCCGGACUGAGAGUACCUGAAGAAAACGCAUCGGCUAACUCCGUGCCAGCACCCGCGGUAAUACGGAGGAUGCAAGCGUUAUCCGGAUUUGGUGGGUUUAAAGGGUGCGUAGGCGGAAUGCCAAGUCAGCGGUAACAUCGCGGGACUCAACCUCGCUCCGCCGUUGACACUGGCGUUCUUGAGUGGGCGAGAAGUAUGCGGAAUGCGUGGUGUAGCGGUGAAAUGCAUAGAUAGCACGAAGAACUCCGAUUGCGAAGGCAGCAUACCGGCGCCCAACUGACGCUGAAGCACGAAAGCGUGGGUAUCGAACAGGAUUAGAUACCCCUGUAGUC